rnacentral:rRNA from 1 species
UAGGGAAUCUUCCGCAAUGGACGAAAGUCUGACGGAGCAACGCCGCGUGAGUGAAGAAGGAUUUCGGUUCGUAAAACUCUGUUGAUAGGGAAGAAAAAAUGUAUAGUAACUAUAUACAAAAGAGACGGUACCUAACCAGAAAGCCACGGCUAACUACGUGCCAGCAGCCGCGGUAAUACGUAGGUGGCAAGCGUUGUCCGGAAUUAUUGGGCGUAAAGAGCGCGUAGGCGGUCGUGCAAGUCAAUCUUAAAAGUGCGGGGCUUAACCCCGUGAUGGGAUUGAAACUGUGCGACUGGGGUAUCGGAGAGGAAAGUAGAAUUCCUAGUGUAGCGUUGAAAUGCUUAGAUCUCAUGACGAACUCCGAUUGCGCAGGCAGCUUACUGUAGCAUAACUGACGCUGAUGCUCGAAAGUGCGGGUAUCAAACAGG